CUCCGGUUGAUCCCGCCGGACCCGACUGCUAUCAGAGUGGGACUAAGCCAUGCGAGUCAACAUAGCAAUAUGUGGCAUACGGCUCAGUAACACGUAGUCAACAUGCCCAGGGGACGUGGAUAACCUCGGGAAACUGAGGAUAAACCGCGAUAAGUCACUACUUCUGGAAUGGGUAAUGACUCAAAUCUACAUGGCCCCUGGAUUGGACUGCGGCCGAUCAGGCUGUUGGUGAGGUAAUGGCCCACCAAACCUGUAACCGGUACGGGCUCUGAGAGGAGGAGCCCGGAGAUGGGCACUGAGACAAGGGCCCAGGCCCUAUGGGGCGCAGCAGGCGCGAAACCUCUGCAAUAGGCGAAAGCCUGACAGGGUUACUCUGAGUGAUUUCCGUUAAGGAGAUCUUUUGGCACCUCUAAAAAUGGUGCAGAAUAAGGGGUGGGCAAGUCUGGUGUCAGCCGCCGCGGUAAUACCAGCACCCCGAGUGGUCGGGACGUUUAUUGGGCCUAAAGCAUCCGUAGCCGGUUCUACAAGUCUUCCGUUAAAUCCACCUGCUUAACAGAUGGGCUGCGGAAGAUACUAUAGAGCUAGGAGGCGGGAGAGGCAAGCGGUACUCGAUGGGUAGGGGUAAAAUCCGUUGAUCCAUUGAAGACCACCAGUGGCGAAGGCGGCUUGCCAGAACGCGCUCGACGGUGAGGGAUGAAAGCUGGGGGAGCAAACCGGAUUAGAUACCCGGGUAGUCCCAGCUGUAAACGAUGCAGACUCGGUGAUGAGUUGGCUUAUUGCUAACUCAGUGCCGCAGGGAAGCCGUUAAGUUUGCCGCCUGGGGAGUACGGUCGCAAGACUGAAACUUUAAAGGAAUGGCGGGGGAGCA
rnacentral:rRNA from 1 species